rnacentral:rRNA from 1 species
AGUGAACGCUGGCGGUAGGCCUAACACAUGCAAGUCGAACGGCAGCACAGUAAGAGCUUGCUCUUACGGGUGGCGAGUGGCGGACGGGUGAGGAAUACAUCGGAAUCUACUUUUUCGUGGGGGAUAACGUAGGGAAACUUACGCUAAUACCGCAUACGACCUACGGGUGAAAGCAGGGGAUCUUCGGACCUUGCGCGAUUGAAUGAGCCGAUGUCGGAUUAGCUAGUUGGCGGGGUAAAGGCCCACCAAGUCGACGAUCCGUAGCUGGUCUGAGAGGAUGAACAGCCACACUUGAACGUAGGCACCGGCCAGACUCCUUCGGGGAGGAAGAGGGGGGAAAUUUGGACAAUUGGCGGAAACCUGGACCAGCCAUACCGCGGUGGGUGAAGAGGCCUUCCGGGUUGAAAGGCCUUUUUGUUGGAAAGAAAAGGAGCAGGGUAAAUCCCCGGUGGUCUGACGGUACCCAAAAGAUAAACACCCGCUAACUUCCGU